rnacentral:sRNA from 1 species
AAUGUCAAACUUCAUCUUGAUGCCUUUUUCAAGGUUCAGAUUAAUUUUUCCAUUCCUGACAUCUAUGAUUGCUCCAGCUGAAGCUAAGAAUAGUCUGCCUAGGAUCAGGGGAUCCUUGCCUUCUUCAUCUACGUCCAAUACCACAAAAUCUGUAGGUA